AUGUUAUUAUCGCCUCCCGGCUUUUGACCACGGAUGUACUGGCACUGGCCAGGUGAGGCGAUGAGGAAGGUCGGGUUCUCCCGGCCUUUUUUGUU
rnacentral:sRNA from 1 species